UAUUUCAUACAGUAUUUUCAACCCGAGCAUAGGCGUAUAAAGCAUCGAGCGCUAGUAUAAUACUCAGUAUUAUACUAGCGCUCGAUGCUUUAUACGACUAUGCUCGGGUUGAAGGCUUAAAUA